GUGUGCCUGAAGAGCAAGGAAAGGUUUUAACAAACAGAGGGAAUUGGCUUUCCUAGCCAAAGUCUGAAGCCCUCCUUACGUCAAUCAUAAAUUUAUAUGUUUAUAUAUGUAUAAAUAUAUACUACAUAUUUAUGUAUAGAAAUUUCUGAGUAUUAUAUGCACCUGGUAAAAAUUAAAAUAUAAUACCACAAACAUCUUACAGCGGAAAGCACUACUCUACCCCACCUCCCUCAUGCACAGAAACAAUCCCUUUUAAACAUUUGCUGUUUUAGUUCUUCUGAUGCCUACACCUAUUAAUCUUCCAAGACUGCGAAUCUUAGGUGCUGUCCAUUGAAAUGAAGUCCAUUGGGUGGAAACAAGUAAAAGACAAUAGGUAUUUGUCACCUGCUAUUUGUUUUGCUGAAAAAAACAAGUUGAAAGAAUUUAAAGGGAAACCAGUUUAGGUAGGAGAAAAGAAAUUUAGUGUGAAAUGAAGCUGUUCUCCAGAAAGCUGUGACCUUGUGAUUUUAAACACCUGCCUAAACGCCAGUUCCUCCACCCUGUUAAAUCAGUGAACGAAUCCUGAGGACGCAAAUCCUGCCAUAUGACAUGUCACAAAGGGACUUGGAGAAUUGGCUACGUAAUGAUAAAUCUUCAGUCCUCUCAACCAUUUAGGGGCACAAAGUCUGACAUCAAACCCAUCAGCACCGAGAGGACAGGCAUCACUGCCAGCUGGAUAAGCCAGGGCAGGAGCAAAGAAUAAAAAGAUUUUUUUUUUCAACCACAAUUAGCUGAACCACACGCUGCACAUUAGGAAGAAGUUAUGUGAACCCAUGUUGGUUUCCACACAUUCUAGGAACACACGUUUGAACUCAGGAAGAGGAAGCAUAAAACAGGACACUGGAAAAAUGGCAGCCAAGAAUAAGUAGUAGAACCAAACAGAAAAAAAUACUGACAUUAGCAUAGCAAAAAAAGCAACAGAACGCUCAUGAUUUUGACAGUGGAGUGUCUUCUCUGUGCCAAGCACUGUGCUAAGCAGUGAAAACCCACCAACAAAGUCACCUACAAAAGUUACAGUCUUGUAAAGAAGACUGGCAUUAACCAAAUAAUCGCACAAGCACUGAAUUACCGUGGGAAUAAAUGCCGUACAGGACAAGCACAGGUGGCCUACAAUGGGAGAUGAGGCAGGGCUUCGUUGAAAAUUACCAAAUUAUCAUUGAAAUGGAGACCCUGAAGAUGAGUAGGCAGUUAGCUGGCCGAAAGGAGGGACCAAAGUGUUGCACUCAGAGCAUAUCCUGCGAGAGAGUGGCUUGGUGUGCAAGGAGGCCAGCAGGUCUGCAAUAGUGUAGGAAGGCUGGUGUGGAAUAAGGCAGAAGAGUGAGGCAGGGCAGGUCCUUCAGACCCGGUGAAAGAGCCAAUGCACAGAGCAACACCCAAAAGACUUUGCACUCCAAGGUAAAAUUAGUGAGAAGCAAAUUCAGGUAGGUCAGAUAUCCGUACAAAGGGAAGGUAUAUGGAACAGCAAGAAACACCAACCUCUCCACAGGUGACUCACACCGUGCUGCUCACCCGUGCCCUUGUAACAUGAAAACCACGUCUGUGAAGCGGCCCAGUGUCCCUCAGUGCACUCACCAGAUUCCCAAAAUCACCCCAGGUUCAACUCUGAUAUAGAAGUUCACUGUGUGAGCAAUCUUUAACUCCGGUCUCUUCAAAUCCACAAGAAAGGGUGCUUUGACUAGAAAGCAGAAGUCAUUAUCAACACCCCAAAUCAAAUUCCGUGUCUUUUAAUCACUAUCGAAAAAAGUAGUUAGUCUCAUGGUUAACAUGGUUUCUAAGUUGCAAGCUACCACACGAAAUUCUUAGCAAAGUGUUUUACUUUAUAAACUAGGAGUAGCCCACAGGAGAGGUGCCAAAACAAAAACAAGAAAACAAGAAAACAAAAAACCCUAAAGCAAGAUUUUAAAAUAGCACCAGUGUGAUAGACCAUAAUAGAGUUUAUUCAAUCCUUAGCCUAGUCUUAAGCUAAAAACAAAGGAGACUAUUCCCCUAAAAAGUUAAGAGGGUCUAGAAGAAAGGAAUGAGUAUUCUUCCUAUGUCAAGCGUUACUGUUUCCACUAAAUAAAAUCUAAUCAUUAGCCACAAACCAUGAGAUGGCCAGAAUCAACAUACCUGUGGGACCAGGCAGUGAGAGCAUUGGCUGUGUGCUGGAAGGACUGUGUUGUUACAAUGUACACUGUUACAUUAAUUAACAGCACUCAGUAGAAAAAACAUGGGAAAACAGAUUACUCACAUCAGUGUCUCCCCACCCCAGCUCUCUGCUUUCUCUCUCUUUCAAGGGGUACAGGUAAAAUGAAGAAGCAAGAAAGUAGAGAAUACACCAAGCAGUAAGGUAUCCAUAUUACCAGCUAAUAUGAAGACUGAGCUCCUGAAGUUAAACCCCACCCACAAGGCCAUGUUUUCCUAUCCAUCUCCCCCCAACAGUUUGCAAGGAUUCAUGCUAGACCCCAAAGCCAGUGUUAAACAGGUUUCAGAUCAUUGAAAUCUAGCCACAAUUUUAUUUUAUUUUUUUUAAUUUUUGAGAGAGAGAGAAAGUGCGAGUGAGGGAGGAGCAGAGAGAGUGGGAAAGAGAGAAUCCCAAGCAGACUCCACACUGUCAGUGUGGAGCCGGACACAGGGCUCGAACCCAUGAACUGUGAGAUCACAACCUGAGCUGAAAUCAGACGCUAAACUGACUGAGCCACCCAGACGCUCCUCUAGCUACAAUUUUAUAGCUGACAUGCCUUUUUCAUUGUCACAACUUAAAAGGCAGUGAGGUCUUUAUUUGGGAAAAAAUACAUAGGCAAAUUAAUGAAAGAUAUAUACUUACAAAAAUUAAAAAAUAUUAGCAUGUUCAUCAAAGGAGGAAAAAUGUGUUCUUUUAACGGUUUACUAGUAAAGCUGUUGUACAGAGCCACAAUUUUUCUUCCUAGUGUUGAACAGGAACGUGGAAUGGAUCUGAAAGAUAUUGUGAAACAAAAACAAGGUGUUCAAAAUCAGUCCAAGUUUUGUCUUGGUGUGGUUUUUCUCUUAACAACCAAAUAGAAUUUCAGAGACUAACACUGGGAAUUACAGGUGACUUGGCAUUAAAGCAAAAUGUUUUACAGAAUUGUAGGUCAUUAGGACAGAUCAGGACUGGACACUAAGGAGAAUAGGAAAGGAAGGCAAUAAAUCAAGGCCCCAACCAGCUGCUGACAAAGCCCAGGUUUCACAGAACAGAAGUGGGAGGGGGCAUGAAUGCACCAGGGUCAGGCCUGUUCCCUCAGUGCAUCCCCAAAGAAGACCAAGGCUGGACCCCAAAGUCAUCAGGAAAUAGGAUGCAGACUACUAACAGGUGCCACAGUCUUUGAUCACAUCACGAUUUAGUGCUGUAUGUGUUAACUAUUAUUAGUCUAAAGCAGUGCAUGAAAAAUCAUCAGAUUCCCCAGUCUUCUGGCUGGGUCUUAAGAAAAAAUGAGCCAAUGAAAGAAAAAUCCCCACUUCUGACGUGACAUCCCAGGUAAGAGUGGCUGUGAGGAGCAGGGUGGGGAGCAGGGGAGUACCCGGAGGUUGUUGCUGCAUCAGGGCGGGGGCCUGGUCAGGAAAUGGGACACAGCAGGCCAUACACAUUUUGUUUAUUCUACUGUUUGUUCCCAUGACACAAACCACCCAAACCAGGAGCCAUCAGCAGACUAGUUAGUUAGGACUUGUCCAUGAAGGGUCACUAAUGCCACCUCGGUCUCGAGCCACAUCUCUUAUCAGAGUUGAAUGCUUCCUACCUUUGAGAAACGAGGGACACAGGAAGUCAGUGUCACCACUUCCUGCUUCCAGUUUUUAUCCACAUCAUCCAUUAAAGAAAUCCCUUUCCCUCUUUCACGCUGUCAAUGUAAAAGACUGCUCAGUGUAUCAAAUCAUGAGGUUGUGGGACUGGAAAACAUUUUGGAUGCAUUGUUUCCCACCCCCCCCCCCCCGAUUUCUCUGCUAGACCAGAGCAUUUUAAAAGAUAGCUGUUGUUACCUGCAACUUGCAAAUGAGGAGACUGAAAAGUUUAAGUAAGUUCCCCAAUGCCACAGAGCCAAUGAAUGGCCGAGUCACGUGUACCCAGGUCGGUGUGACCCCAGAGUUCUAUGAAGAUGUCCAAUGAGCUGUCACAGUCCCGGUGAAUGCUGCUUGCCAUCCACACAGGCACAAAUGAACCUCAAGAACAAGGCUGGCUUCUGGCAACAAAAUUCAGUCCUUAGAGGAAGUUGUUUCAGGACCACCCCCACUCUCGCCUUCUCCCCUUCUGCACCCUUGGCCUUUCUUAGGGUCCAUUCUUCCUCCCACGCUCUUCUCCCUUCCUGUUCCUGUGUUCUCAAGGAGCCUUCUGACUCCAAAGUCAUUAAAGAAAGACCUCUAAAAAGAAAUUCUCCCUCGUGUUAAUACUAAAAAUUCAGAGUGCUUAUAUGUCUGGAAGAGGCAUGAAGGGAGAAGAUCAUGCAUCGCCAAUGAAUUUCCAGCAAUUCUGCAGGCUGUGGAAAAGAGACGUGGGCUAAGUGUAAUGGGUAGCCCUCCAAGUAGCAGGCAUAGGCAACUGCCUACGCCUAAAAUCAGCAAGGAGAAAAUGAAAAUGAUUGUUUCAUAAUACUUUAAAAUAGCCUCCAUGAAGGAGGUGGGAAGGAGAGGACAUUGUUGUUCUGAUUUUAGAGAUAAGAAACCAACACCCCAGAGAAGCCGCUUUGAGCCCCAGAUCAAGUCCAGACGGGCAGAACCAAACACAGGUUGAAUUCUUAUGCUUCCUUCCAGUUGGCUGGCUCACGCUUUCUUUCUCCUGAUUCUGAACUCACGCUACCCUGCCUGUUAGUCUCCCGCUAAGUUAUCUUUUGAAGGUAGCAGGGUGCUUGGGAAGCAGAGGCAGUAGAGGGAAAUACGUUUCUGUUUUUAAAGAAUAAUUCAUACAGGACCCUUCUCUCAAAUAGCUCAAGGCACUUCUGUGAGAAGCACUGCGGGAAGAGAACAGAGUGACCAGAUCCCUCGGAGCAUCAAUAAUGCACAGCAACUUCUUUUAACUAGGGGUUGUCAAUUUGACUUCCCCUAGAUCAGCGGGGGAUCAAAAGUCACCAGUGGCUAACAGACCUUAUUUGAGUGGAGGAUGCAAUUUCAGCCCAAUCCCCGCUAACGGCCAGCCACAUCAAACAGCCACCUUGAUGCUGUGGUGUUCUUUCGCCUGCCCUUUGAUCAGCUGUGGCUGUAACUGCACAGCAUCCCACAGGGGCCACAGAACCUAACUGGAUCAUUCUUACCUUGGAAGCUGAGUUGCUGCGGGGCGAAUCAUUCAUGUUCACGCUCAGAGGCACCAGCUUUAGGAAGCCCAACUCUAACCCCAUUUGGCAAGACAGCUAUUCCAAAUAGUAAGACAAUGCCACACAGGCGUCCCGUGUACCCAUUCAUUCAGCCAACAUGAAUUGAUCACCGAGCACCUAAGUUAUAGCUGUGUUCUCCUCCCUUCUUUCCUCCCGACCAAAUCCUCCCCUUCCGUCAAUCCACUCAAGGGUUUCUUCUUUGUUGAAGCCUCUCUCUGAGAUAGACCUUCCAUGGUGACCUUCCCUCUCUUUUCACCCUUCCCACUAAUUAUAAUUGGGCCUCAGUUUGACCUGUAA